rnacentral:rRNA from 1 species
AUGAACGCUGGCGGCGUGCCUAAUACAUGCGAGUCGAGCGAACAGACGAGGAGCUUGCUCCUCUGACGUUAGCGGCGGACGGGUGAGUAACACGUGGAUAACCUACCUAUAAGACUGGGAUAACUUCGGGAAACCGGAGCUAAUACCGGAUAACAUUUUGAACCGCAUGGUUCAACAGUGAAAGUCGGUCUUGCUGUCACUUAUAGAUGGAUCCGCGCCGCAUUAGCUAGUUGGUAAGGUAACGGCUUACCAAGGCAACGAUGCGUAGACGACCUGAGAGGGUGAUCGGCCACACGGGAACUGAGACACGGUCCAUACUCCUACGGGAGGCAGCAGUAGGGAAUCUGCCGCAAUGGGCGAAAGCCUGACGGAGCAACGCCGCGUGAGUGAAGAAGGUCUUCGGAUCGUAAAACUCUGUUAUUAGGGAAGAACAAAUGUGUAAGUAACUAUGCACGUCUUGACGGUACCUAAUCAGAAAGCCACGGCUAACUACGUG